AAGCGCUCGCUACCAGACUUGGGUUCGGCGGUUCAACCGGGGCCACGCCCCGGGGCACUCCGCCGGCCCAGGCCAGCAUCAGCUUUCUGUCGGGGGCAAAGGCGUCGGGAAUGUGGCUCGCCUUCGGGUGAGUGUUAUAGCCCGGCGUGUCAUACCCUUCGGGAGGCUGAGGUACGCGCUUCUGCAAGGAUGCUGGCGUAAUGGUAGCUAGUGA
rnacentral:rRNA from 1 species